AGGACAAGGUGAACAGGGAAUAACUCAUCUACCUGAAGUCCAAGCAAGCCUACAAGUAUCCUGUUUUCAGAUUCACUUACACAAGUGAAGCCUUACUGUUUAGUUUUUCAGACAAGGCCUAAAAUAACCCAGGCUGGUCAGGAAUUUGAGAGACAGUUGCUCACCGUGUAGCCUCGGCUGGACUGGGAUUUGCAGAGAUCAAGAGCUGCUGUCUCUUGAGUGCUAAAAUUAAAGGCAUGCACCACCAUA
rnacentral:lncRNA from 1 species